ACACUAAACCCUAGCUCUGGCCUCCCUCGCAAGCCGUUCAAGUUCAGUUCAGCAGAUUCUGGUCUCUUUCCGCCAUUUGUGCAAUUAGAUCCAGCUGCAUUGAUGAAAAAUUUAGUAAUCUGAAUACAUGCAUGGAACUUUUGAAAAGUCGGUGCUCCCUUUUGCAAGAUCGCUGCGGAGGUUGAGGAACCAACGUUUCAUGCCAGGUUGAGACUAGGCAUUCUGAGGGUAUUUGCUAUUCCUGAUGUUACACGAAUUUUCUUUUAGCUCUUUAGCUCAGGAUAACUUGUGGUUGAUAUUUUAGCUUCUCUGUUAUUUUUACUUUCUAUUUUUUAAAACCUUAUGAAUUUAUAAAUUGCCAAAUCUUUUGCGUAUUCCCAAAUGCUGCGUAUGGGAGCAUGAAUUUUGGAUUGGUGGAUUUGGACAAAUUUCAAUACAAUUUUAUAUACAUCUCAUUUGAAACCAAUACAAAACCAAAUCCAAUACCUCUCCACUUAAAUUUGGAUGUAUUAUAUGAUGAGCACAGACACAAUUCAUGGGUAUGAUAUGGCAUGGAUACAUUGACACGAAUGGCAGAGAAACUAAUUAAUCAAUGUGUUAAUAUUAUAUUUAAAUAUAUAUUAUCUAGGACAGCUAUUGAUUGUUAAUAUUUAUGUAACAUUCUGUUGUGAGGUUAUACAUUGACAAGUCUUUUUCUUAUUCUAGAUCUAGAAGUUCAUGAGUUGAGUAUGUCAUAUUUGUGAUAUAUAUCAGUAGUGGAUGAGGUGCCUUGGCUUGAAGGUAGACUUCAGAUGGCUGAAGAGAGAGCCUAUAGGUGAAUAAGCUGGUAAGAGAGGAUGUAGAAUCAAGGAAAUGACUUGGGUGGAGUAACUUGCAUUCAUGUAUGUCCAAUCUUUUCAAUUUACAUGGUGUGUUAUUUCUAUGGAAUUGGAUGGAUGAAUUGAACGUAGGGAACUUCAUCUAAGUCAUUCUCUAGAAUUAAGGAGUGAAAGAAGUUGUUCUAAUGGCAACGGAAUGUGGACAAAUCACAAGUUUGUUGUUUAAGAUAUUGCGGGGGCACAGAAUUAUUAGAGUAGCACUGGAAGGUGCAGUGGGUGUGGAUGCUAUUUUCUAUUGGAAUUUCUUUUCCCCUUGGCUGCAGAUGCAUUCAAGGAGCAAAGGGCAAUGAAGAGAAUUUUGAAGAGAUGCCAAGGUGGCUUCUCUUGGAUAAAAUAUUGCAUCUGAGAUUAAUGGAACUGAGAAAGAAAGCAGCUGAGGGAUAGAGUAUUGAAUGCCUUGCUCUAGUUUCAUAUUCUCUUAAGACUUCGCUUCACAGGACUUGACAUGGUAAUUCUCUGUUGCAUAACUAAUAUUGCCAAUGCUACUGCUCCUGAACUAGAGCUCCCUGAAAACAGAGAACAUUGGCUAAAUUCUGGCAAGUUGCGUAAGAGGGUGUUUUUUAAGAGCAAAAGGUGUAUGUGGAGAGGAAAACAAUUGAGCCCUGCAUGUCCACUCAAAUAUGCUUCUUGCUGUAGGCAUCUGCUACUAUUGCAUUUAUCAACUCUCUUAGUAACUUGCUCCUGUUUCACACCUGUGAGUGCUGUCUAUAGACUCUAUACUAGCACCUUUAAGAAAUGUUGGUUUGUUUGCUCCUAAUAAUGUCAAGUCCAUGUUUGCUGAUGUUGAUUGUGAAUUGGUUUUCUCAUAUGCUUGCUUUAAGUUACUUGAGGAGCAAAUGAGCAAUACAUUUUUUUUUUUCUUUUCCUAAACAUGAUUUUAAAAAGAAGACACUAAAAUAAACUUGUUUUAAUUAAAAGAUCAUUUGGGGACUCACGUUUGGAGAAAUUCAAUAGCUCUUUUCACAAAAACAAUUUCUGAUUUUUUUAGCAGUAAUUCUUGACAUUGGUACUAAGUACUGAAAUUUUUACUUUUUAAUCAUAAUUAUUAAUUUCCCUCAAGAAGUCCCUUUUUGUCAUGGACUUGGAAAAGAAUCUUGAAAGCAAGAAUCACAGCUCAUCUUUGCUUCAGGAUCCUUACUGAUAAUGGUAACACUUUUUCUCUUAUGAUAAUUGACUUCCUGAUAGUCUAUUAAUUGAGCAUUCUGUUCUCAUCCCCCUUUUGAGUUUGGUCUUGCUAGUUGAUAAUUCUUGGUCUUGCUGAGAAGGAUAUAUCCAAUAAUUGCUGCAAUUAGGGCUGACGUGGACUUUUGCCCUGAUGCUUUUGUGGAGAAUAAAGCUCCCUGGAUUUCAAAGGCUCUUACCCAUGUUUGGAGACAGCUUGGAUUUGGAUUUUUAUUAGAUUUGAAUAAGAUAGAAUACAAAAUUGUAUUGAAAUUUAUCCAAAUUCUUUCAAAUCCAAGUCUAAGGUCCGAAACCCAUGCUCCCAAACACGGCAUUGAUGUGCUUUUGGAUUCACACUGCUUGGGACUAAAUAAGAGAGAAAUUUAGAUAUCAGUUGGUAUUCUCCGGUUUGGUUCAAGCGUCACAUUGGUGGACAGUCUUUCAUUGGUUCCAAUGCUGCAAAGGAGAUCAACUGCGGGAGAUACUGCAGGAAUGAAGAAUUAGUCAGAUUUGUGUUCUGGGCUCAAUUCGGCUGCUGUAGUCUGUAAGUUGGCUUGAGUUGCCUCGACCUACCACAUUUGGAAAUCAAGGAGCUUGACUGUUUGAGCAUAUACCUUUUGCUGGUAACUUUGCUACUGUUCAGUUAAUGCUGUUUGCUUGCAAAAAGUAGAUGUUCUGGUUUUAAUACAUCUGCUCUUAUUGAUGCAUUGGCUAUGAACUUUUGUAUACAUUUGUUCUUAUUCCAAGGCCUUAUUAAGCUUCCCCCGUGUACCCUUUGUCAUUUUAAUAUUGAGGUGUAACCGAGAAAUUUUUUGUGACAAAAUGAUGAAAUGACAUCUUUUUAAUAGAGAUUAGAUGUCUGGUUUUCU